GUAGCUACAGAUUUUUAUUUUCCUGGUUUUUUCUGCUUCAUCAGCUAAAACAGAAGCUUUUUAGCUAAGGGAGUAAAGGAGUCAUGUGGUAUGAGUUUCUUUUUAACUUGCCUGGAUACUGAUCAGCCCCAUUCUAGACUCACAGUAACUCUGAGCUAUCCCACAGGCUGUGCUGGGGCCAGUCCUCUGAUUCAGCUAAGGAUGGUGAAAAUGAGAUGGGUCCUCCUCUGGGAGGGAGCUGGCCCUGCCAGCCCAUCUUGGCUCAUGAGGACGCUUUGAUCUGAACCACCCUUACCUUCUCCAACCCAUCGCUUUUCAGAGCAAUUAGGCAUUACAGGUGCUUUCCCAAGAGGCAAGGAACACCUGAAUGAACCUCAGGGGGCCUUUGAACUUUGGGCUAGUCUCUGCCUGAUUAGCUUGGAGCCUCUGAUCAGUGCAAUGAUAAACUGUGAGGCCAGAAGACUGAAGAUGAAACACAGCAUACCACUGGCCUCCCGCCAGAGAAGUAAUGGACUUAAAACUAGAGAGGAACAUACACUUUCCAGUCCUGGCCAACGUGAGAAUCGGUGUCGCUGGACCAUCCACAUUUCAUGUUAAAAGACCCAAGUGAAAUCAUCAAACGGGUUCAUUUUAUCUGCUAUGAAAGACUUAGGAGAGAACAUGACAAGAACAUGACAAGAACAUGAGAAGAAGCUGAAAACCCAGAUGAGUCGCAAUCUGUGCCAUUACAGGGAGUGUCUGUUUCGGGGAGAUCCUGGGGCUUUUAAAGCAUUAACGUACAAGACAACGUGACUUGCCCAAUAAGAAACUUCCCUACAAUGAACAUGAAAGAGCCACAGACCUUUGGGACCCCAAAUUAGCUCUCAACCUUGGGAAAAGUUAUGGGGCAAAUGACUUGCCAGUUUGAGGGGUGGGCAGCCCUCAGGGGACAGAAUUGCUAUUCACCAUCUCAGAAUAUGCUAAGGGUGCUUCAGUUCUGCCUUCCUUUUUAGAACUUGUGUAGCCCAUGUUGUUGAAAUAUAGACAGUUCUCUAUUAUCCACGCUAACAGAGCUCAGCCUUAGAGUAGCUAAUUCACGAGUUAUUUGUAGUGACCCUUCGGAAUGUAGUAGAUGAUGUUUUCUCCCUCAAAGCUUAAUUACACUUGGCUUAGGCUGUUAUUAAAGUUUGUUCGUGUUUUCUAA